UUCUUCAAUCAGAUUUUUAUCUUUAUUGAAUGAUUAGAAAUAAAUUUUUGAGGGUUUUAUAAAAAAAACACGUAAAAAAAGAACAUCUUCUAUAAUUAAGAAUCUAAAUACAUAUCUUUCUUAAUAAGAAGAAUGUUUUCAAGUAACUAAUUAUUUUUAUUAACAAGCUAAAGGCAAGCAAGACUUAGGCACCUAAGGAAGAUAUAUUUGAUGGAAAUAAUAAUAAUGGUAAUGUUUCUUUGUGUAUUGUAUGUAUCGAUCAAUUUUUUUUUUCACCUCAUGCAAUAUGUACGAAAGAGAAGUUGUGUGCAUAAUAGAAUUAUGAUAACGUAAUAACUUUUCUUCACAAUGGCUACGACUCUUGCCGUGACUUUUAUCAGGCGUCUCGUUACUCAUAGCUUUAUGGAGGGGAGUAAAUUGGGUUGCGUGUAGAGCAUAUAUGACAAGACGUCAAAAUAUUCUCUGCGCUGGACAUCUCACGCACAUGUGGGGAGAAGAUAUUUUUGUAUUAAUUUCGCAAAUUAAUUUAUUGAAAUGCUCGCGUAUAAUUGUCGAACGUUUCCUUGAUCAAUCGCAUAGACGAUAAACGUUGACAGGCGUAACGACGUGUCUGCUUUCUCUCAUGCGGAUUUUUUUAGAGCCCGAACUUUUCGAGAGACGACGCAUUCACCAAAGCGUAUCGUUGGCGAUUUAUCGACUCCCGAUAAGCCGCCGGUUGGUUCGUUCCAGCCGGCGGUUUCUUAUCGACGACUAUGAAGAUAACGGGAUUUCAUCCCGUGCGAUGAUAACCGAUACGCGAAAUCAUCAUCACCGGUGACGUCGUUUGAAAUUUAAAAUCUCACGGAGGGCCCGGCGAUAGAUGAUGCGCGAUAAUAUUUUGCGUGUGUACUCUGAAUGUUGAAAGGAAUCUCAAGAGCGACAGGUAGAGCCGGUCAUUAUGGUUAUCACCGUCGUAUCGGCUGAUUGACGUUAUAAAAGAGGGAGGGAUUAUUAAAGCUGCACGACUUGCACGGCGCUAUAAAUAAUAGAAAUAGAUAGAGCGAUUAUCGAUUGCACGGAACGUAACGUGAAUGUGCUUUCUGAAGAGGCAAUUGUGCACGAACGAGCGGAUCGUUAAGUGUACAGAAUGUUCUUGAAAGUUUGCGCGGGGCAUAUUUUUAGAGUACUUAGGCCUAUUUUUAAAACGUCGAAAAAAAAAAAGUUUGUAGAAACGUACCUAUACCCGCCUUAUAAGCUUCGGGUUUAUAAACAGCCUUUGUAUCUUGGAACGUGAAAAGGCUGUGGGGAGGAACGGCCGGAAUUGCAUUUGGCUGUAUACCGUACCGGUCUAUUUUCACAAAGGGCGUCUUUAAACUGUGACAGCAUUAAAGUAAAAGCCUCUUUAGAUCAAAGACGAGGAGGGAAGAGGAAAUUUUUACAUUGGCGGCCAUUCGUUAAAAUAGCGCGGUUUUUUUGCAGGGGCGUUCCGUCGCGCGCGCUUACAUGCAAUUUUGCCUCCACGUGUCGGCCUCUUUUCCUUAUAAAAAUGCAGUACUGUGCGGUAUUAAAUUGACCAGCAAUUAACUUAUUUUAAAUAUUACAAUCACUGCUUAGUACUUUUUAAUACUCGAAAUAAGUAAUAAUUAUUGGUCAAUUUAAUACUGCCCAGUAUUACACUCCAAAUAUGAUCUUUGCAACUUUGCAAAAUUAUGUAUGUAUAAAAAUUAGCUGAGAUAGUUAAAUGAUUAGUAAACACUGUGAUAUGUAUAUGUAUUGCAUUUCAAUCAAUUUAACUUAUAGAAACAGAAUUUACAAAUUCUAUAGGUGACAACAAAAAUUCUAACAGAUACAAAAAUUAGCGAUACAUUUUGGUUGUCACAUUAGGAAAUCUGUCUAUAUUUUUAAAAAAAUUUUUUUGGUGCAUUACAUUUUUACGAAGAUUUUAUUUCCGAAUUUUUUGAAAACGCGAAAGAUUCCGCGAUUCAAACGAGGGAUUUUUUUUUUUUCAAUGAGAAAGAUCUGAAAAACAACCGGAGUCGAUCGUUUCCUAGUAACAGUGCAGUCAUAAGCUUUGUUUCGGAGAAUUCUUUUAUCUUGCAUUGUUCCAUUAGCAUGUGUGCAUAAUUGCCACUCUAUUGUUAACUAAUUUGAAAGGCAAUAGCUGCGCAACUAAUAACAGAUAUGCAGACAGUUCUCGUACUUGUGUCGGGUAGUUAUGAAACGUUUCAAAGACGACUAUUGUAUUAGGCUCCCGUAGAAAGUGACAUCGAAACACUUUUAACUUAAUAGCGGAAAGGAGACGAUGUGUUUCACAGACAUGCGAAGCCUGCGUAAAACAUGUUUUUAUCGUGAUUAUAUAAAUAGGGUUUUACGAGGUACACAUCCGGAAAGACAAUUCGAAAAAAUAUGAAAUGCAUAACUUUAUUAAAUUUUAUUAAUUUCACGGCAAAUCCCAGGUUUUGAUCGAAUAAAAUAUUAAAUCGCAAGAACACCUGCUUCAGUUAAAAAGAACAUAAGUUUCCAGAGAUUAUGUUGAUGCUUAUACAAAUAGAACUUUGAUAAAGUAUAUUAAAAAGAAUAGCUUUAUAUACAUAGAUUUAAAAAUAAUUUUGUUAAACCAUCAAAAUAAUUAUGUCGGCCGUCUAUACUGGGUUGCUAAAACCAGUCACAACUUUUUACAGCAUUAUCAUUAUGCUUGAACGUUCUAUGCAAUUAUUUUAAUAAUCCAUAAUUAUUUUCUGAUCUGUAUCGCGUUUAAUUUUCAUAUACUUCAACCGAACCGUGUUCGCGUACCUUUCCGUGUACACGUCAUUCAAAUAAACCACAUUGAAUUUUUUUCUCCCAAAUUUGCCGCAGCUGUCGUGAAAAGUACACGUAAUACUGUCAACAGACAUGGCCAAAUUCCACGAAAAUACCGAUAUGCUGCCGAGAGAUUUAACCGAUUACCACGAAAAUACUGAUACGGUUAAUAGAUUUAAGCGACUUCCACGAAAGUGAUGAGGAAGUGGCAGAUAUAUAUUUACUAUAUAUAUUAUGCAGUUUUUUUAUAUUAAAAAAGAAUGCUAAAAAUGUAAAGUUACUCAAGGUAACUCGACAAUAUUUAACACAUGUGACAAACAUUACUUAUUCAAGAGACGAAGCAAUACUUCCCAAUGAUGAAAAAUACAGGCAUUAUGCUUGCUAUUUUAAUGUAUAUUUAUUAAAGUAAUUACAUUAUUUUUAUUCCACAAAUGUUCCUUCAAAUUUUGUCUAGCCAUUGUGAACGAGUCUCGAACAUUAUCCGAAUGUUCUGCCGUACAAUAGGUAAACCCAUGUGUGUCGUUGAUUACGUAAAUUGAAAUACCAUAUACGCGAUUACGGCGAUACGUACGGAAAGAGGACGCAUUUCGAACGCGCAUGGCCGGCUUACGGUGAUAAUAGCGCUGGCCAAUGCAGUUUCGCGGAUAAUGCACGUAAAAAUAGACACGGAAAGCCUCGUACGACUUGGAAACUAUUAGUAAUUUAUAUCGUAGCUCUCCUUCUUUCUUUGUUUUCUUUGGCACGUCGUUAUAGUUACCUUGCGCAGUGGAUGUACGAUUCUUUGAUUAAUGUUUUAUUUCGUAAAUGAGAUUCAAAUUAUUCAUUUUAGAAAUGAAACAAAAUCUAAUUUAUACAAAAAAUUGCAGCUCUCAUAAUAUACAGUUUGCAAGGGAAACAGUAUGGCAGUUGUUCGAAUUGAAAGAUAUGAAGCGAUGGGGGAUGUUAUCACCAGAAUGGAGCAACUUUGUGAGGCAAAACGAGAGAGAUUUUUUUUACUUAAAAAUUUAAGAAAAUGGCAUCCGACACGAUAGACUCACAGUUAUAGUCCGAAGGUAGUAAAAACAACGAUACGAUUGGAAGAUUUAAUUAAAACAAAAAUAAUUAAAUUUAUUUUUUGAUUAAACAGUGUUAUUAUUUCAGUGAAAAUAUUUUAUUUUAUUUAGUUUAUAUAAAUUUGUACAUUAAAUCAUUUUAUUAUUUUAGUAUUCAAAUUAUUUCACUUAAAUUAUAUUUUUCUCAUUAAAAAAAAGAAUUGUUUCACUACCGAAUAAAUUUAGUAUAUUCAGGAAUUAAAAAAGUAUUAAUAGUAUUAAGAGCAUUCGUGAUUUUCAGUUGAGCCGUGAAUUAUUGAAGUUCGCGAGGCCUUAUGUUCCCCGUGUGCCAAAUCUUGUUUGCGAAUUAUUAACGGGCCCGCUAGCCACCUAACGAAAAGUAGGCCGCGAGUGGGAAUCUCACGGGAAGGCUAUUUAAUUUAAUUUCAAUGAAAAUUAUUUCAUUGAAAUGUGUUGUUUCAAACAAUCGUAAUUUUUCUGUCAAACAAUUUAGUUUACUUAUAAUUAACAAAAUAGUGUUUCAUUUAAAGGUACGUUGUUUCUGUGAAAUAAAUGUAAGCGAAACAAGCAGAAAAACUGACAAGAAACUGCAAAGAAACGCUUUUCUCUGUAUACCAUUGUAAUGGUGCCGCAUCAAAAAUCGAUAUUGAUAUCUAAUAUUGCGGUUCUCUAGAGAUCCUGGGGAGUCGCUUUGUACGAGGGAGAAAAUAUCGAGCCUUACUGCUAUGGUUGCAUUUAAUUUUAAUGCAUCGUAUAACAUUCUUAUAAGAAAAAGUUUAACCGCGCAUCCCGGUAAGAGACAAUCCUUCAGACUGGUCCAAUAUUACUAUUCGAUAUCGAUUCAUAUAUUGGAUUAUUAUUACUAUUUCAAUGCUAGUCCAACAGAAGGCCAGUAUUGAAAUAUAGAACCUAUUUUUCGAUACAACAACGCCAUAUUCAAUGCCGAUUUAAUGUAUUCUAUUCCCGCUUGGAUACUUUCGUUUUCAAUUCUUAAGUAUAACUAAACUGAACAGAUUUCGAAUUUAAUGAAACUCACACCUACAUAGGAGGAAAAUGAACAUUGCAAGUAUGCAACACUCGCCUCUAGAGAGUUGGAUACAACUAUAAACUAUCUAUAGAAAAUUGAUUCGCGUAUUAUUUUUCAAAGCCGCUUCUUUAAUCUUUUAUAUUCUUUUACUUCAUAUUUAUUUACUUACUACGACCAACCACUACCAAGUUACCCACGGAAUACUUAUAAUAUAUCAUAUGUGUGUAUGUGUGUGUGCGUGCGUGUAGCAUCGCGUAAAGUCUGUAUAUUUAUAGCCCCGUGACGAGCGCGACAAAUUCUGAUGUAUAAAUAUUUACCGCCGCCGUCAAACAUCUAUCGGUCGAAAGGGUUAACGACCCGGAGUCAUUGAAGCUACUGGAGUAGCGAAAGGUCUAUUAGCUCGCGUGUCAAAGUAUCGGGAUCUUUCUCAUCACCGUCCUCCGUCCGCGGCGACGGCGGCGGUCAGGACGGCGCGUCGUCGGCGCUACUCUACGAAAGUCUUGUUAUGCAUCGACAAAAUCGAUAUACCGUGCUUUCGAAUGCGGGCCACCGCCAACGGCGGUGACGUAAUUGAACGAUAUAUAGUAACUCUCGCGGACGGGGGUCAUCGAAAACGCCCGAGUUCUUCCGCGACCAUAAUGCCGUCGGUUUAACACCCGAUACCGUCUCUCCACCUGGCUGACCGUGUAAUGCCGUUUUUCCUCGCGGAUUUUUUUCUCCUCUCUCGUCCCCACCCCUCCUCUCCCUCUCUCGCCUCCCUUAUGUGCUCCAUAUUUCCGCCUCGCCCCGGUGCUCCUACGUGCUUCACCAUCGAGAUGCCGCGGUAGACUUCCACUCGGCCGAGCGUGAUCGAGAUUGAUCGGCUUGACACAAAAGAGCGGCAACGGACACUCGGCCCAGAGUCCAAUAGCAAAAGGGUUAAUUAUAAAGAGUGAGGCACCGAAAUCCGAUAUCGCGAAGCCACUCGCUGGCAAUACCGUUGUUGCCGCUGCUGCUGCUGCUGCUGCUGUUGCUGCUGCUGCUGCUGUCGUAAUUCCUCUUGGAUUAACGUCAGUAAUGUGGCUCCCUUCAGACUAGACUCUUUCGAAACUAACGCUUGAUGGACUGCUGAUAUCUCGCUGGUAAUUCCGCGAGGAGUCUCAUCGAAGGAUAUAAAUACUCGCAUAAUCUUAGAGUUGUUCAUACAAAAAUGUGCACGAAUUUAAAAAUUGCACCUUAAAAUAAUAACAUUGACACAAAUAAAAUAAUAAUAAUAUUAAAAUAUUAAAUAUACAAGAUUGAGAGUUUGUUUUAGCUUUAUUUUUUAUCUUUGAUAUCGUUAUCACGUAAAGAUUUCCCUUGCAACGGGGUGUGUUUUCUCGAAGCAGAAGAAAGCUUUAAGAAACAUUUUUCUAGUAUAAUAAUACAACGAAUCGAUGUCUCGGUGAAGAGCGUUCCGAUGCCGUCAAGUCUAUCGAUCGAGGAAUAUCGAUGGAAUUUCGAUGAGUCGGGAUCUUUUUUUUUUUUUUUUUUUUUCAAUAUUUCACGAUAUCACGCAUGGAUUAUCGCAAACAUAUGAUAAGCGCUCGAAGGGAGCACGUCUCCCCGUUGACAUUAUAACAUUGUGACGCCAGGAGGAACCUUUCAUGGCGAAACAUACCUGCUUUCGGUAGCUCACGCGUCUUUGCAGGGAGGGUUAAUCUCAUUAUCCCCGCGGAGAAAUGAAGUGGAUCAUAAAGAAGAGCCGUGUCUCGCUUGAACGCUUCGUUGCCGGAUAAAGCAAUUAAAUUUCGAACGAUUCAAGUACGAUACAAUCUCUGUGUGUGUAGUAACACAAUAGUCGAAAGUAAUAAUAGAAUUUGCUAGAAAUAGCAAAGAGCAGUAGUAAAAUUUGAAACGGGGGGGGGGGGGUGUCUUGCCGCUGUGAUUUCGCAAUGUAAUAUUCUAAAUUGUAGCACAUCCAGGCGCAAUUGAAUAAACAUGAAUCAUAAAACGUUAAUUAUAAAUUAUAGCUAAUUACGGGAACCGCAGUAACGAAUGCCGUGUCGCUGUUGAAUAUUUAUCGGUGUUUAAUAACAAAAUUCGCGCUUCUUUUGAUUCCGUAUAAUAUCUCGCUAUUCGUCAACGUGGAGAUCACGCUAAACGUUUUCCUGACAUUCGAAAAUUGAUAUUUGACAUUGGACACCUCAUCCUCUUCUCAAGGCACUCAAGGUACAGCGUCACGCAGUUUUUUCCCCCCUUUCUUUCGUCUCUAUUAACUGCUAUCUUUCCUUCCACUUGGGUGCUAAGUCGAGGAUUACGUAUGCAUAUUAAACGUAACGAUCGAAAGGGCGACAUCGUCGCACGAUUGCAUUACGGAAAACGUUCCGACGGCGGAAUUAAUUCGGGCACGCUCCGGUCGCCGAGGGAGGCUAAUUAAUGCGCCUGUAGCUGGCUUAUUAAAAAUCGAUGUCGGAGCUGGUGUCGAACGGGCGAGCGCCGCACGUACCCGCGUGUGGGCCCGAACGAUAACGCGACAGUCUUGGAACGUUAACUUCGCAAAUUGAUCAGAAAUAAUGGGGUGGAUCCCUAGGGAAGGGGUCUAUCGUUUUGGUAUAUCUUUACAGCACAUCGUAUCUGGCACGUGCCCGGCCGCGUGCGGUCGAAUGAUACGCCAAGAAUAAUUUGCCCGAUGCCGCACAUUAUUCUCUCUCUUUCUCUCUCUCUCUCUCUCUCUCUCUCUCUCUCUCUCCCUCUCUCGGUAAAAUCGUAAGACAUCUUCAAAUUAUUUUCAACCGGCCGCUCGUAAAUCGUACGGGGCGUUAUGAGAGUACUGCACUCGUAAUCAUUUAAUGCACGUUGUAUCGCAGAUUUACGCACGUCAUCGCCCGGAAGAUUAAAGAGCAUCCGCAUCCGCCCUGGAUUUUGCACACCGCAAUCCGCGCCGCUCAUUGCCGAUUAUCGCGGUCGGCGCUUUAUCCCGCGCUAAUGGCAUUCGCACGAUCGGGUGACUUUGGCUCAAUUAAGAAGCACGGUUAACGCUCCAUUCGAUACCCAUCGAUCGGGAUUACGCAACUAAUUAGGUUACAAAGUCAUCACUUGCUCGAACGCUCGCUAAUUAAAAGUUUCCGCCGAAUUCCUUUUGGCACAUUGUUUAUCAUUGUCCGACGUUGUUUGUCAAAUGUCAGUAUUAUCGUACGAAUGUUUGUUUUGGGAAUAAAAAUAACCGACUGCUACUUGAGAAGGUCGAGCAAAGUCCUAGAGAUGUAGAACGAUACCGCGUCCUUUUUCUUAGGAAAAUAAUGAAAUCAUAAUAAAAUGAUGAAAUUGUGAAUACGUUAUUGGCAAUUGCGAAAAUUAUCUGUCGAACGUAUACGCAAAUUUUAGUCACUGGUAAUUUACGCUGUUUUGAGAGAAAAUAAAUCGGAAGAAUUUCUUAUCAAAAUAAUAAUAUUAUGAUCGAUACCCUUUUAAACGUACGCCAUUCGAAUAUUCCGCGAACCCUUAUUAACAUCGUAUCGAUUACGUUUAAGUGCAUAUGCAAGUAAUUAAAUAAAAACAGAAGUAAUCAAAGUAAAAUUCAAAGAUCCGACGGAAGUGUCCUGUCAGUUAAUAUGAAAGCUUUAUUUCCCAGUUAUAUAAUACAGCUAAUAUUAUCUUCGUGAUUAUAAAGUUUUAAGUAACCAAGGAGAACGCGAUAAAAAAUGCUAUCAA
rnacentral:lncRNA from 1 species